UUCUCUUUAGUCCAGUCAAUGUGUUCUUUGGCAAAUUGUAACUUCUUCAACAAGUCAUUUCUUCAACAAUGAGACACUGCAGGAGUUUCUUGUCCAUAGCUUGGCUUCACAUAGGUAUCUUCUAAUUGUUACAGUACUCACAGGUAACUUUAGACAUUCUUUGAUCCCCCUGGAACUGAUCAUUGUCUGAGUCUUUGCCAUUCUGGCUAUUCUUUGAUCCAUUCGAAUGGUGGUUUCCGUUUUCUUCCACAUCUUUCUGGUUUUGGUUUGCCAUUUUAAAGCUUUUGAGAUGAUUUUAGCUGAGUAGACUGCCAUUUUCUGCACUUCUUUAUACCUUUUCCCCUCUCCAAUCAACUUUUUAAUC